UCCAAGACAUGGUUAAAAAUAUGACUAGUCUUUAUUAGGAUUUGGACCCUCUUUCUCACCUACAUCUUCUCUCUCUAAGAUCAACCGCGGAGGUUUUCUACCCUUCCUGUUAUUCCAGUGGUCGAUCAGUUUCAUGCUGGCCCUCGCUGAACAGCUACAUGUUAAACACUUCGCUUCCUACUUUCUUCCAUGCUUUAUGAGAGGAUCUUGUUAAAAACAUCCACAAAGACACUUCAGGCAUCUCUUCUCCUGCCCUCCAUGGAGGAAAGAUCUAUCUCCUCUAAGAGACAACAUUAUUCAACCUCCCUAAGAAUGUUUACAAGAAAGAGAUCAAAAGUUGAGAACCACCUAUCUCUCCAUUAGUCUGAGAAGAGAUGCUACUAGAAGAUAAUUUAUCCACCAGACCUCAGGUUGGAACAAAUCACUCUCCAGAGGUAUCUCUCCUUUCCUUCACUGCAGCUGGAGCAGAGACCAC
rnacentral:lncRNA from 1 species